UUCCGGUUGAUCCUGCCGGACCCUACUGCUAUCGGGGUGGGACUAAGCCAUGCAAGUUGCGCGCUUCUAAGCUAUGGUAGAGGAGCAGCGUAAGGCUCAGUAAAACAUGGUUAACUUGCCCUCGAGACGGGAAUACCCCCGGGAAACUGGGGAUAAAUCCCGAUAGGCGAGAUGGCUUGGAACGAUAUCUCGUCUAAAAAACGUUAAGACCAUGCUUCUUUUCGUUGCUCGAGGAUAGGACCAUGUCCGAUCAGGCUGUUGGCGAGGUAACGGCUCACCAAACCUAUAACCGGUACGGGCCGUGAGAGCGGGAGCCCGGAGAUGGAUCCUGAGACAAGGAUCCAGGUCCUACGGGGCGCAGCAGGCGCGAAAACUCCGCAAUGCGCGAAAGCGUGACGGGGUCACCCCGAGUGUAACCUGCUGAAGGUAACUUUUCCUCAGUCUAAUCAGCUGAAGGUAAUAAGGGGAGGGCAAGUCUGGUGUCAGCCGCCGCGGUAAUACCAGCUCCCCGAGUGGUAAGGACGAUUAUUGGGCCUAAAGCGUCCGUAGCUGGCUUGAUAAGUUUCCCGUUAAAUCCGACGAUCCAAUCGUCGGGCUGCGGGAAAUACUGUUAAGCUAGGAGGCGGGAGAGGCCGGCGGUACUUUUGGGGUAGGGGUGAAAUCCUAUAAUCCCAAGAGGACCACCAGUGGCGAAGGCGACCGGCCAGAACGCACUCGACGGUGAGGGACGAAAGCUGGGGGAGCAAACCGGAUUAGAUACCCGGGUAGUCCCAGCUGUAAACGAUGCGGGCUAAGUGUCGGGAUGGCCACAGAGCCAUCUCGGUGCUGCAGGGAAGCCGUUAAGCCCGCCGCCUGGGGAGUACGGCGCAAGGUUGAACUUAAAGGAAUUGGCGGGGGGAGCACUCAAGGGGUGAAGCUUGCGUUCAAUUGGACUCACGCCGGUAAUC
rnacentral:rRNA from 1 species